UACGUAGGGUGCGAGCGUUAAUCGGAAUUACUGGGCGUAAAGCGUGCGCAGGCGGUUCGCUGUGUCCGAUGUGAAAGCCCCGGGCUCAACCUGGGAAUGGCAUGGGAAACUGGCGGGCUGGAGUGGUGGCAGAGGGGGGGUGGAAUUCCGGCGUGUAGCAGUGAAAUGCGUAGAGAAUGCGGAGGAACACCGAUGGCGGAAGGCAGCCCCCUGGGACCAACACAUGG
rnacentral:rRNA from 1 species